ACUUAGUUGGUAGAGUACAAAGCUCUUAACCUUGUGGACGUGGGUUCGAGCCCCAU
rnacentral:tRNA from 1 species